rnacentral:rRNA from 1 species
UACAGAGGUCUCAACCGUUGUUCGGAUUCAUUGGGCGUAAAGUGUGCGUAGGCGGUCGUGCAAGUCGGAUGUGAAAUCUCAGGGCUCAACCCUGAAACUGCAUUCGAUACUGCGCGGCUAGAGUGCUGGAGGGGAGACUGGAAUUUACGGUGUAGCAGUGAAAUGCGUAGAUAUCGUAAGGAAGACCAGUGGCGAAGGCGAGUCUCUGGACAGCAACUGACGCUGAGGCACGAAGGCCAGGGGAGCAAACGGG